GUUGUAGGAAUUACUAUUCUGAUUGGUGGAAUAAUUUUGUUCCUUUGCUGGAAGAAGAAUUCGAAAGGAAAACCAUAUGAACUACAUCAAAGGGAUCGGACUACAACUGAAAUGGAAGGAGAUGAAUGCUCCCCAUAUGCAGUCGGCAGCCGCGUUGACGUAUGUGGAAAUGAAGCUGUGUAUUCGCUUGCAAUGAUGCCUGGUGUGAACCCAAAUGGAGGCUCCUCUUCGCUGGAUGGCAAAUCGGCUUCUGGAGAAAAAGUGGAGGCGCUCUACGCUGUGGUGAACAAAGACUGAGGAGUGCAAAGGGCUAGAACAGCCUUCCUUUCAGUUGGGUUUUGGUCAGACGUUAUCAAAAUUUGCAAAAGUCUUCAUAUUCAGGAAGGAAAGGCCUUGAGAUAUUUUAAGAGAUAAUGCCGGGAGAUUAAGCUUAACAGAGACAUCUGUCCCUCCUUACUCUUGGCGAUCCUUGCUGCACCACAGCAUCACCUGAGUGAGGGAUGAAAGGUAGGAGUCAGGUUGUCCUCUGAGAUGCGUCACCUGAUUUAGGGCAUAGCUAGACAGGGCGAUAUCCUGGUGAUCAUCCCAGGAUUGUCCCUGUGCAUCCACAUGACACACAGGGCAUCCCGGGAACAGGGAGGGAUGAUCCCUCCCUUGGCCCGGGAUAUCGCCUACCCUUUUAGCCUGCUUUUUCCACAGUCUCGGGAUGAUCCUGAGACCACGGAACUUAUG